rnacentral:rRNA from 1 species
UACGGGGGGGGCAAGCGUUGUUCGGAAUUACUGGGCGUAAAGGGCUCGUAGGUGGCCAACUAAGUCAGACGUGAAAUCCCUCGGCUUAACCGGGGAACUGCGUCUGAUACUGGAUGGCUAGAGAUUGGGAGAGGGAUGCGGAAUUCCAGGUGUAGCGGUGAAAUGCGUAGAUAUUGGGAGGAACACCAGUGGCGAAGGCGGCUCACUGGACCGGAACUGACGCUGAGGCGCGAAAGCGUGGGGAGCAAACAGGG